UCUCCCUCCUUAGAAUCUGACAGGCCAGGGAGAAACCUGAUUUCAAAGGGAUGCUUAGAUUCUGUACUGAUGCCAUCUAGAAAUGUAAAUGCUCAAAGUCACACUGCUAAGUGGAGAAAGGCAUAAAGCGGUGUCUGCUAAUUAAUCAACCUAACUUCUGAAUCAGAUAUUUUGAUUUGUUAUAAAAGGAGAUAGUCAAGGACAACUGUGGAGAUGAAGCAGUUCUGCCUUCAUCCUGGGCCUCCCUUUUGUGGUGCAUCGCAUGCCUCAAUAGGAAGCACUUUCAGACACUGCUCAAAUUUAAGUCGCCAAAAUUUUACCUUUUCUAGAUGUCUUGUGAAGGUUUUAUUCUUUCGGGUCCAGUUUCUCUUAUUUAGGUAUGGUCAUAUCAGUUUUUAUUGACUUCAGAUUAGUCUUUCAUUGUAAGUAUAUAAUAUUAUAUACUAUAUAAUACUUAAUUCCUCUCCAGUUGAUGAACACUUGUGUCUAUGAGAGACAUUUCUCAUCCAAACCACAAGAUACAAGAAUUUGCAAAGACAGAGAUUGUCACUUCUCUUUUUAAAAAAAUGGCCCGGGGAAAAAUGAUUGGAGGACCAUCUAUAAGAUUAUUUUUAAUUGGACAGACAAUAAACAUUAAAAUUGUUUUCCAAAGUAUUUCCUCUUUCUUUAUAUCCCUGCCACAAUGUGUGAGACACUUAGUUCCAUUUCAUUUUCAAGAACACUUGCAUUCUGUGGUGUUUUAAUUUUAUACCCAUUCUAUUAGAUAUGUAGUUAUACUGAAUGUUGGUCUUAAUAUACUGUUCAUUGAGGAUCAGUGAUGACAGACACGUUUUGAAGGUUAUAUUUCCCAUUACUAUUCAAACUUCAAGGCCAGGAUUUUGCAAUUCAUUUGGUCAUCUUAUAUAUUGAUCAGUUAUGUUCUGCACAUAUUGUGUCUUAAUAUAUGGCUUAUUUACUUUAUUUCCAAUAUUAUCUCUCAAUUUUAAUUUUAUAAAUUAAAUUUUUUAUAAAUCAUAAUUUAAGAGAAUUUUAAUCAAGGUCACUAGGAAUUGAUCUUCUAUUUACCCUGAAUAUUUUAUUGCCUCAGAUUUUAAAUCUUUAUGAUUUUUUUCUGUUUAUCACAUUUUGUCUUCAUCUUCUUCUUUUUUCUUUUCUUUUUUUUUUUCUUUUUUUUCGGAGCUGGGGACCAAACCCAGGGCCUUGCGCUUGCUAGGCAAGUGCUCUACCGCUGAGCUAAAUCCCCAACCCCGUCUUUAUCUUCUUUAUUUUGGUACUUAAUCCAUCAUUCUUUAUUCGAAGGAUUAUUUCUUUCCAUUGAAGACAUAAUUUUGAAUCAUAAUAUAAUCAACCGAACUAACCAACUAGCCAUUAACAAUUUUUAUUGAAAAAAAAUCAUCCAUUUUCAAUAUAGGUUUGUUUUCUUGUGGGAUUUAUACAUAUGUUCUCUUUUCA